ACAUACACACAUGUUUUAUACAUGCCUUUGGACUAGAUAAUGGAGAGAGCAGCCCUUGUCCUCUUGGUUUGUUAUGUUCAUUGCAGCCAUUAAAAACUAUACUGCUCUGUAAAAUAUUCAAACAUUUGUAAACUGAUACGAGAGCCUUCUUAAGAGUAUUAAUCAGCCACUGACUGCAGCUGAAUUAAAGGCAGUGGGCACUGCUGAAUUGGCCUUGAUGAGAUCUGUUUCAUUACACAGUUAAUAAAGUUGUAUCCUUGUGAAGUGGCCUUGAGAGGUAGUAGUAGUAUAAUAAUGGAAUGUAUAUUUAGGUUCUGAGGAUGAUGUUAGCUAAAAAAACCCCCAUGAAUAUAAAAACCUAUUAUUAUAAGCAUUGUUAAAGAAUUGAAAACAUAUUACCCGGGUGGCUCUGUUUUGCUCAACCAAAUAUAAAACUGGAUUAGGAGUGAAUUAUCAACACAUCAAAGCAAGUGCCUGCAGCCCGAUCUACCCAUUUGAUCUCCAUUGAUCAAAUAAUGCUCACUUCAAUGACCACAAGAUCCUGAUGGACACAUCAAAACGUAAUCUAGUGCAAAUGGUUUAACCUUGAGGUCUUAACAAAUCACUUUUGCUCCUUUUCAUUUACUUCUCCAGCAGUGAGCAUUAACGACAUAAGAAAGAGACAGCGAACAGGAAAAUUGAGUUUGCAGACUCAUCAAAGCGUUUCUUACCAGACUCUUGCAUGCACUACAAUACCAGACCAUCAGAGCCGCUUUGUUGUGAAGAAAAAUUAAACUGCAUGUAUACGUAAACAUGCAGACACAGACACAUCAGCUGUCUUUACUCUCCUCUGCCUGCUUUACAUCAAACCUAUUAUUCCAGUUACUGUAAAUCUCCCCUUAGAAAUUGGCUCACUUUGUUUAACUACACAUAAGUGAGCUAUUUAUAACUUCAUUUCCUCCAUCAUUGCAUUUUCUGAUCCUUAGUCUAUAGCUGUAAUUCUAGCCUGUUGUCCGGAAGGAGAGUAGUCUGACCUUUGAUGAGCCUCAUCCAUACAAAUCUGCUUCAUCAAAGGUCAGAGGUGACAUGGAGUGACAAGAAUUCCUCCCAGGAGAUGCAAGUGGGUUCGCUCACUGACCCAACCCGGUCAUCGGGGGAGUUGAGCUUGGUGAAACAUCAUUUUAGUGAAAUAUACAGUAUUGAUUCCACGCAGGGGAUCGCAAACUUAAAUCCCCACAAGUCAAACAGAAAAGUCAAUACCUAUCGACUAAUAAAUCAAUAACAGCAGUCAUUUUAAUUUAAGACUAUAGAGAGUGUGUCAAAAGAUAAAAAAACGAGGUUAAAGGUUAACCUGUAACUUAAAUAUGAUGAGGUGCUGGAUGUGUGCUGUUGUUCACAGGGAAAAAUACACCCUCUAGUGGUAUAGCUGGGUAGUAACACUUCAGGAAGGAAAAUGUCCAACUAACUCCUGCUUGAUCACUUUAUUUAAAUCUGAUAUUGUAAAUGAGAUAUGAACUGCUUAUCUGACCUCGAACAUAAUUCUAUGAUUAGUUUAAAACAAGUUGGCCCUUUGUCCAAAUCAAACUGACACAUUUACAAAAGCACCUGGGAGGGGGUAUGAAACGAGAUCCCGAGUCCUCGGCACAUGUUGACACGGAAACUCCCACACCCAGACCGCACCAAAACAUACACCCCUGCAGUUACACCAAUGUGCGUAAUAAACAUCAGCCUGCCACUGAAUUUUCCUCUUGAGCUGUAAUUGUACUGCUCUUGUGCAAAAGUCUUGUGAAAUCAUGUCCCUGCGUAUUUAGUCUAUAUGCAAUUGUUACUUAAGACCUGCCUUUCUGGUUGUGUUCAUAACUGAAAAAAAAACCCCAAGACGUCUUGGGAAAAUCGCCGACCAAUUGAGGGAGUGCUUCUCUCAACGACCACUUCUGAAUUCAAAGCAAACAAUAAAACCACUCGUUCAAGCAUGUCAAGCAGAGAGUAGGAUGUCAGAGCGAGAUAGCUGUUUGACUGGACUUCAAGCAAACACACACACACACAUAUAUGCAAAUAGACACACAUACAGUUCUGCAACAAAAGAACAGGUGAGCAAAUCUCUUGUUGCAGCAAGACCAGGCAGGCCUGGUGAGACAGAGGGUGAGGGAGCAGAGACUGAUGCAGUGGAAAAGUACUGCUGCUCAUCCCCUCUGAGAGACUCUGGGCAUGUGUGUGCUCGUGUGUCGCGUCUCUGAAAAUGACAAAGAGGUAGUGCUUACUCAUACAUGUGUACAUACAUGUGAACGUGCCUGUUCAAACUGAAUAACAGUUAAAUAUCUCUGAUCAGAGAUCAGAGGUGUUGAAUAACAUGGAAAGUUACAGAUUUGCCUUCUAUUCAAGUGUAAUUUGGCACCAUAGUUCCAAAGACAACAGACUGAUGGGUGCUUGUGUAUCAUCUGUCAGACUUUUUAUUGCUGUUGUAGAUAAUUUUUUCCACAGAGAGCGACUGAACACAGCAAAUACACAUUUAGGGAGCAUUGUUAGCUCAGCAGUGCACCUGCUCUCCUGUGAAUUUGCAUGAUUAAACUGACGAUAUAAAUAUGGAGACAGAGUUCUUUCUCUUUAUGUCGCACAGCACAGCAGACAGACAAUAACGGUGGCUGGCAGGGGAGGCGGAGACGACCCUCGAACAAAGAGAGAAAUGUGGUGAAAAGUAAAGACAGAGACAUGGAUGACAGACAGGAUUGGGCACACGGAAAAGGAGACAGCAGUGGGAGGUGAUACAGCGAGGUGGAGAAAGGAUCAGCGACUGUCUCACGCAGCUCUGGGUAAUUUAAUAAGCCUCCGCUGUCCUGAGGAAGGAAACGGAGACCUGUGGCUGGAAUUACAGACACUCGCUCCUUCGCAAUAUCACAAGCAAGCAGAGUGAUGGACAUAUCUUUGGCAUCAUCAGGAAAUGGAGAAAUUCCAUGCUCCUCUGUGGAUAACGGAAUGCAAUAUCUGGUGAUAUCCUGAUUGAUCAAAGUGUGUUUAAAAUAUCAAUAACUAUUUUUUCCCCCCUGCAUCUGCAUGUGCGUUUGAGUCCUGCUCCGGCUGACCAAACUACACGAUUUGCCCUCAUGUGAACAACACUGAUGAGCAAGCGUGUUUAGAGGGCAAGUAACCAUGGAGACCGGCACGGCCAUUGGCAUGGUGACGAA